ACUCCGUGCCAGCAGCCGCGGUAAGACGGAGGAUGCAAGUGUUAUCCGGAAUCACUGGGCGUAAAGCGUCUGUAGGUGGUUUAAAAAGUCCACUGUUAAAGAUUGAAGCUUAACUUCAAAAAUGCCGUGGAAACUUUUAAACUUGAGUAUGAUAGGGGUAGAGGGAAUUUCCAGUGGAGCGGUGAAAUGCGUAGAUAUUGGAAAGACCACCAAUGGCGAAGGCACUCUACUGGGCCAUUACUGACACUGAGAGACGAAAGC
rnacentral:rRNA from 1 species